rnacentral:rRNA from 1 species
UACGUAGAGGGCAAGCGUUGUCCGGAAUCACUGGGCGUAAAGGGUACGAAGGCGGAAAUACAAGUCAAGUGUGAAAUCUACCGGCUCAACCGGUAAGCUGCAUUUGAAACUGUAUAUCUUGAGUAUAGGAGAGGAGAGCGGAAUUCCUGGUGUAGCGGUGGAAUGCGUAGAUAUCAGGAAGAACACCAGUGGCGAAGGCGGCUCUCUGGCCUAAAACUGACGCUCAUGUACGAAAGCUGGGGGAGCAAACGGGAUUAGAUACCCGCGUA